GCAAUCAUAAAUAAUCCAAGUUUUUGUAUCAAAGUUACAUUUACUCAUGUUUCUAAUUUUUCCCCUCAUUUUCAAUUGCAUUUCUCAGGACAACUAAAGAUUGACAAAAGAUCAUGAAAAACAGUUAAACACUUAACACCAUUGAACAGCAAAUGAAUUGAAAGCAACGAAAUGAAAAAACAUGAAACAAUCAAAAGGCCUUCAUUAUCAUCUACUUAAUGAUAAUUCUGACUUUUCAAAUAAUUUCACAUGGAUUCACCGAUCAAUAAAAGGCGCGGAAGGAACCAUUUAA